rnacentral:rRNA from 1 species
GAUGAACGCUGGCGGCGUGCCUAAUACAUGCAAGUCGAGCGAACGGACGAGAAGCUUGCUUCUCUGAUGUUAGCGGCGGACGGGUGAGUAACACGUGGAUAACCUACCUAUAAGACUGGGAUAACUUCGGGAAACCGGAGCUAAUACCGGAUAAUAUUUUGAACCGCGUGGUUCAAAAGUGAAAGACGGUCUUGCUGUCACUUAUAGAUGGAUCCGCGCUGCAUUAGCUAGUUGGUAAGGUAACGGCUUACCAAGGCAACGAUGCAUAGCCGACCUGAGAGGGUGAUCGGCCACACUGGAACUGAGACACGGUCCAGACUCCUACGGGAGGCAGCAGUAGGGAAUCUUCCGCAAUGGGCGAAAGCCUGACGGAGCAACGCCGCGUGAGUGAUGAAGGUCUUCGGAUCGUAAAACUCUGUUAUUAGGGAAGAACAUAUGUGUAAGUAACUGUGCACAUCUUGACGGUACCUAAUCAGAAAGCCGCGGCUAACUACGUG